rnacentral:rRNA from 1 species
CGGAGGGCGCGAGCGUUACCCGGAUUUACUGGGCGUAAAGGGCGUGUAGGCGGCUUGGGGCGUCCCAUGUGAAAGGCCACGGCUCAACCGUGGAGGAGCGUGGGAUACGCUCAGGCUAGAGGGUGGGAGAGGGUGGUGGAAUUCCCGGAGUAGCGGUGAAAUGCGCAGAUACCGGGAGGAACGCCGAUGGCGAAGGCAGCCACCUGGUCCACUUCUGACGCUGAGGCGCGAAAGCGUGGGGAGCAAACCGGAUU